ACUAGCGCGGUGGUCCCACCUGACCCCAUGCCGAACUCAGAAGUGAAACGCCGUAGCGCCGAUGGUAGUGUGGGGUCUCCCCAUGUGAGAGUAGGGAACCGCCAGGC
rnacentral:rRNA from 1 species